CAAUUGAAGCAGCAGAGGCUUUUGCGAUGACUGUGGAAACCACUGCUUAUGCCUUGCUUCAAGCAUUGUCAAGGAAUGAUAUUGACUAUGCAACACCGAUUGCGAGGUGCCCAACGAUGCAACAGAACUAUGGUGGUGGAUUUCACUCGACGCAGGACACAAUCAUUGCCUUGGAAGCUUCAUCAUGAUACGACAUUGCAUUUCUGAAGAGGGAAGAAGAAAUCAACAUGCAAAUUCAAUUCCAUGGUUUUGGACGUCCCAUUGAGAACACGAUUCAUGUGCGCCGGCAUAAUGCUCUGACCGAGAAAGAAUCGAAGUUUCCACUUGGAAGAAAGAUUCACAUCAAAUUGACUGGUCAAGGAACUGGGACACUGACUUUGGUCGAGUGGAUCACAGAAAGUCUGGCAACAAAAAAGCUGCAAUGGUUACCUCCUCACUGCUUCCAACUCCUCCUCUUUCUCAGCUGGUGCCCGAUCACUGGCAGCGACAGCGUACCCUCAUGAUGCCAAGGUUGGAGACUAUCAAGAAUCAUGACGACACCGGCCCUUCUCUGUACUGCAGGACUGCCCCAGAGUGCUCCAGGCAGCAGAAACAACAUUGAACGACUCCAGUGGUCUGCACCAUUACAUUUCCUGUGGUACUUUAUGCAGCCCCUCUGAGUGUGUAAUACACACUCCCAUAUGGACCACGUCAUCAAACAAAGGCUCUUGUCACCUCCUCAUUACUUCAAGUUGUUCAAAUGAGGAUGGCAGGGCAGAAUAUUGAAGAAUUAUUACAAAGUCUUCUGUUCAGUAUCCUGCUGCUCUCUGACAAGGAAAACUGAAAUGUACUUGAUUUUCAUGUAAUUUUGAUUCCCAUGACAGGUCCUUGUGGGAACAGGAAAAAUGACAAGCUGGAAAAUUUUGCAAGUAAUCUUUGGGCCAGCCUGGAAUCUUCCCAUCCUCUGGCCAUGACCUUGUGACCCUGCUUGGAGGUUGUAGUUACAGUUUCAGAAGUGAUCAAUUCCAGUGAGGAUGUCUGUACCAAGGUGAAAGCUCAUGCACAGUUCUUCACGACGGGAAAAAUGGCUCCAUUCAGACUCUGGAGAUUCAGGUAUCCCACUGAGAAUCGUUGUCUCCUUCAUCAUUCACCUUAUUCCAGUCACCUGUCCUGCUCUGUGUGAUUUCUGUCCAUUCUCUCAGUCAUGCUUGUCUGAGGGGAUAGCCACUACUGUAGCCCUGUUGUUGACUUGUGCAGUAUCCUCACAGUCAGGGAAUGCUUCCCCAUUCCUGAGAGAUUUCAGUUGGCUUAAACAGCUCUGAAAACCACUAAACACUUUUACAAGAGUCAGCGGAAAUCCACUUGCAUCUAACCUGUAAGUAGUUGGUGAUAUCUCUAUCCUCACUGCACUGGAUUAAGAGAGGAUUGUAACUGGAAUACUGAGGUCAAAACAUAUACCAUUAGCAUCCAAGCAGCAUUACGCAUACUUCCAUCAGAAUGUGAAUCAGAUGACAGGGAUUAUACCUAGCACUUGGAGAACUGACAGAAACCCCAGGUUACCUUGUCAGGAAAGUUCCAGUGAAUGAAGUGCCAACCGAGCACUUACCAUUCGGGGGCAGUCUGUGGCUAAAACCCCACUCACUGAGAGAUGCUGGCCAAACAGAGACUAGUGCCUCGCCAUUGCAGGUGGUGCCACCAGGAAGGGUGGCUGAUGCUGGUACUGCAAUUAAUCCAAUGCUAUUAGUGAGUCAUGAACAAAUUGGGGUCGUGGGAGAGGUUUUCUGGCCAGGGAAUCAGGAGGUUGUAAGAAAAGGUAGUCAGGUGCUAUCUGUUUGCCAUCGCUACUAAUAUGGCAUGGCGGAUCAAUGGUUAGCACUGCUGCCUCACAGCUCCAGGGACCCAGGUUCAAUUCCAACCUCAGGUGACUGUCUGUGUGGAGUUUGCACAUUCUGUAUAUGUCUGCAUGGGUUUCCUCUGGGUGCUCCAGUUUCCUCCCACAGUCCAAAGAUGUGCAGGUUAGAUGGCUUGGCCAUGCUAAGUUGCUAAGAGUGUCCAGGUAUGUGUGGGUUAGGUGGGUUAUAGUGGAAUGGGUGUGGGUGGAAUGCUGCAAAGGUCAAUGUUGGGUCAAAGGGUCUGAUUGUACACUGUAGGGAUUCUAUAAUUAAGAGUUUUACUUCUCAAACUUUCUGUGUGAUAUUUGUUCAGCCUAAGUUAUUAAUUGCCCACUCAGGGGAGUAAAGACCAUUUACCAGCCUUCCCAAUCGAGACUGCAUCAGGGUAAAACUUGAAAGACAGUCAGGUCCGUACUUACACUCUCCAGCUCAAACCCCGCAUAAAGAGAGGGGUGUUAAAUUCUACCCGUCAUGUACAAAAUCCAGCACCUACGUGAUUGCCUGCAAAAAUGCCAUCCAUCACUGCCCACAACAGAAGAGUGAACCUGGCAGAAACGCAGAAUUGCUACAACGCAGAAGGAAGACAUUCAGCCCAUCAUACUUGCCAAGCUCUCUGAGCACUCUAAUUUAAGGCCAAUCUUCUACCUUUUUCCAAAAACCCUGCAUGUAUUUUUUUUUCUGUUUAAGUAACCAUCCCUCUUGCGUGCCUUCGCCGAAUCUGCCACCACCACAUUUCCGGGCAGUGGAUUCCAGGCCCAGAUCACUCACUGGCUGAAUAAAGUAUUUUUUCUCACUGCCCAUUUGCUUCUUUUGUUAGCAUCUUUGAAACUGUGCCCUCUGGUUCUAGAUUCAUUUUAGGAGUGGGAACAUUUUAUUCCUAGAUAACAAGGUGUAGAACUGGAUGAAGAGCUUUCUGAACUUUCGUCAGAAAAAUGAAGAAGGGUCUAGGCCUGAAAUGUCAGCCUUCCUGCUCCUCUGAUGCUGCUGGGCCUGCUGCGUUCAUCCAGCUCAGCACCUUGUUAUCUCAGAUUCCCCAGCAUCUGCAGUUCCUACUAUCUCUGAAGCAUUUUAUUCCUAUCUGCU